rnacentral:rRNA from 1 species
AUUGAACGCUGGCGGCAUGCUUUACACAUGCAAGUCGAACGGUAACAAGCCGCAAGGUGCUGACGAGUGGCGAACGGGUGAGUAAUGCAUCGGAACGUGCCCAGCCGUGGGGGAUAACUACUCGAAAGAGUAGCUAAUACCGCAUACGAUCUAUGGAUGAAAGCGGGGGACCGUAAGGCCUCGCGCGAUUGGAGCGGCCGAUGUCAGAUUAGGUAGUUGGUGGGGUAAAGGCUCACCAAGCCAACGAUCUGUAGCUGGUCUGAGAGGAUGACCAGCCACACUGGGACUGAGACACGGCCCAGACUCCUACGGGAGGCAGCAGUGGGGAAUUUUGGACAAUGGGCGCAAGCCUGAUCCAGCAAUGCCGCGUGCAGGAAGAAGGCCUUCGGGUUGUAAACUGCUUUUGUACGGAACGAAACGGCUCUGGUUAAUACCCGGGGCUAAUGACGGUACCGUAAGAAUAAGCACCGGCUAACUACGUG